ensembl:lncRNA LINC01832 long intergenic non-protein coding RNA 1832
AGACACACAUUUGGCAGGCUACCCCAGACCCAUGUGGAGCAGAGAAACACUGGUGGCAUGGAGGGAGUGCAAGACCCUGAAGAGAAUAUGCUGAGGUCCUGAAGUGUGCAGCUGGGGCUUAAUGAGCUAGAUAAAACUGACAUUCCAUAAAAGAAAUGAGUAGUUCAGCCUGAAACUCAAAUAAUUGCACAAGUAUUUUUCUUCAAGAUAAUCAUCAUACUUUGUUACAGAGCAGAAAUACAGCUCUUCCUGCUUCCUUCUCAUCUUAUCACCCAGAAUAUUUGUCAUAGUUAAUUAUAUGUGUCUACUUGAAGGGUGUUUUUGGAUGACUCCACUCUCCCUCAUCUCUUCUGGAAAAUAAAAGGAAUCAGAAAUUUCUAGAAGCCAAGAACCAAAUGAACGAAGUCAAAAUUAUGCCCUAAGGCAAGCCUUCCCCUCCAUGCUUAGAGCUAGCUCAAGGGGUGUGAAUGCCUCUACAGAUCCAGUUUCUUGGUGCCACAGAAGGGUCAGCAUUGACUCUUACCCUGCUCAAUUUGCUUCAACCCAGUGGGGCCUUGUUAAAAAAGAGCAAGUAUGUCUACAAUUCCAGAUCUCAUUUCAUGCAUAGUUGGCAGUGCAUAAGAAACUUUAUCAGAUUCCAAAAUAUAUUUUUAAAAAGUCCAAGAGGCUGGGGUCCUUUGUGAUUGUUGUGGAUCCACAUCAGGAAGAGAAACCCUUUAAGGAGAAGAAUAUGAUAUUUUCAUUUGCAUAAAAACAAUAAAACUCUUUCAGCAGCAAUUUCCCCUAUAUAAAAAGUGAGAACACAGCACCUUGGUGACACAGACAUCUGUUACUUAAACAGAUGCCACCUUCUAAACUCACUCAAGCAACCCUCUGCUCAACCAGAGACCCCUAAACCAAAAUUCAAUGCGUGGAUAGAACAAUAUGUGCAAAGGGUGCUUUCAGUAAUGAUGGGUUUUACCUCCCAGCAUCAUUAUGAAUUUGCUUGACUUUUUUGUGUUGUUACUUUAGCAAAAUCUCCUCCAUCAUUUCUCUCAGUAAUGUCUUUUUUCUAACUUAACCUCCACAAUCUGCAAAAUCAAAUGGUUCCUUCUAAGAUUCAUUGCUGAUUAGCACUAGCCCUUCAAAGGCUAAACCAUGGCUUUUGUUUGUUUCUUUCUUUUUGCAGAUGCACUUUAAUGACUUCACAGGACAAGGCUCUAACACUAUCUAGGAGAGAAAUGAAAGUUAGUUCCUUUUUUUUCUUUUCCAGUAGCACAAAGGGUCCCUGCUGAUGUUUUCCAGUGAAGCAAUACUCCCCUAGCCUGAGACUGAUAAGUGCCUUCAGAAGUUAGGCUUACACUUCUAAAUCAGCAGUUCAUGAAAGGCAUUACGAAAAACUAUUAUACUGCUAUAAUGCUAUAAUGGAUGACAGCACAGUUGUAUAUGUUACACCUUGAAGUAAGCAGUAGGAUUUUCCAUCACUUGAUAACCUUGAAACUGCUAAGGUAUCAAAUUGCUAUCAUGAAUAUUGUGCAGGAGAAGAAAUAACUCAGGAAGCUGCCUUUGUGAAUAAUAAUCAGAAAACUGCAACAUUUUUACUGAGAAAAUGGAUUUGAGGCACUGGUGUAUUGACAAGCUUUCUAACAGGAAACUAAGGUAGACAUUACAAGUACAUUUACAUUGAGCUAUGCAUCAAUCCAUCAUUCAGCAUUCGAUUUGUAAGUUCUAAUCAGUUAAAAAUAUUAUUAGCAAAGAAUUAUGUGGUAUGUUAAAAUUUCCAGGAUAAAGGGUAAGGAGAGCCCACAUGCUAUUUUGUAGCUGAAAACAAUAAAUAAAAAUGUUUGUUUGAU